UAUCUCUGUAGAGUCUGCAUAUCAAUAAGCGGAGGAAAAGAAACUAACAUAGGAUUCCCUCAGUAACGGCGAGUGAAGCGGGAAGAGCUCAAAUUUGAAAUCUUCAAGGUUCUACCUUGACGAAUUGUAGUUUAAAGAAGUGUUUUCUGUUGAAGUUUCGGUAAAAGUUCUUUGGAAUAGGACAUCAUAGAGGGUGAGAAUCCCGUAUUUGACCAGUUAUUUCCAGCUGUGUGAUACACUUUCAAAGAGUCGGAUUGUUUGGGAAUGCAGUCCAAAAUGGGUGGUAAAUUUCAUCUAAAGCUAAAUACUGGCGAGAGACCGAUAGCGAACAAGUACCGUGAGGGAAAGAUGAAAAGAACUUUGAAAAGAGAGUUAAACAGUACGUGAAAUUGUCAAAAGGGAAGCGUUUGACACCAGUGUUGUUUUCUCGAAAAUCAAUUAAAAAUGGCUUGAUUUUGUGUUGUAUUGACCUUAAAAGCUUUCUUCACUUUUUUCAUGUCUUUCUUAAUGCACUUUUCGGUUAACAAGUCAACAUCAAUUUCUUUUGUUGUAAAAGAGUCAUUGGAAGGUGGCUUUCUUUUCGGAGAAAGUGUUUAUAGCCUUAUACUUCUACAAUCGGAGAGAUUGAGGUCUGCAGCGUAGAUCCUUCGGGGUUAGAUACACUUGUGCUAAGUUGUAGCUUUUCAUAGACAACUUGUUGACUAUGUUUAGUCAUGCGGCUUACUCGCUUGUGCUAUUUUACCUACGCUUAGGAUGUUGAAGAUGUAGCACAUCAU
rnacentral:rRNA from 1 species